GCGGGAGUAACUCAGUGGUAGAGUGCAACCUUGCCAAGGUUGAGGUCGAGGGUUCAAAUCCCUUCUCCCGCU
rnacentral:tRNA from 2 species